rnacentral:misc_RNA from 1 species
CUUUCCCCCACUUCACCCCCAUCUCUCUCUCUGCGGCGACAAUGGCGGCCCGGCUCCUGAGCCGAUCCAAAACCCUAGCCCGCGCACUCUGCUCCCCUCUCACUUCUCAGCAUCUUCGCCCUCUCAGCCACGGCCGGAUCCCGCCGCCGCCAACCAGCGGCCCCGAUCUCGCCUCCCCGGCCGCCCCUCUAGGCUCCGGAAAGGUUUGGAAUUAUGAACAGAUAUCUCAGUCACAUUUGUUCAAACCUCUUCAUGCUGGCACACAAGCUUUACCCGGUAGAUCUUUGAGGCAUCACGUAUACAGUGUUCACUCACACUCUUACCAUUCAGCUGGAAAUGAUAAAUUUGAGAAGACAGUUGGCGAGAUAAAAGAAGGCAAGGCUGAACUUGAUUCUCUUGAUCCCAAAGAUGGGAAGGUAAUUUCUUUCAGUCCAUUGGAGGGGACUAUUAAAGGGCGAGUGAGCGGACUGUCGAACGAAAGUUUGAAGAUAAAGAGAAGCGAGCUUGCCCAGAAGAUCACAUACGCCCUCAUACCUGCAUUGCUUCUGGUCUCGAAAACAAAGCUGACCACCUCACUACUUAUCUUUUCCGUGUACUGGCAAAUUUAUGGGUUUUUCAAGGAGAUCUUUCUGGAUUACGUUCAUCAGGAAGUGACCCGCAAGUGGGUUCUUAUCUACUUCAAGCUGAUGCUCCUCGUUCUGGCCAAGGACAUGUUUGUUUUGUUUGGUUUGGUGUAGGCUCUGUUGUUGUGACUUGUGAUUUUCUUUUCUGAGUUGGG